GCCAUGGGGCCCAGGCUCCUCUGUGCUGUGGCCUUUUGUUUCCUGGGAGUCAGCUUUGUGGACACACAAGGAACCCAAACUCCAAGAUAUCUCAUCAAGAAAGUGGGAACGAAAGUUUUGAUGGAAUGUUUGCAGAAUAUGGACCACGAAAGAACGUACUGGUAUCGACAAGACCCAGGUCUGGGGCUGCAGCUCCUCCAUCGGUCGUAUAAUAUUGACAGUACUGAGAAAGGAGAUGCCCCUGACGGGUACAGGUUCUCCAGGAAGAAGAAGAACGCCUUCUUCCUGACCCUGGAGUCUGCCAGCACCAACCAGACGUCUGUGUACCUCUGUGCCAGCAGUAAAUCCACAGUGCCUCACAGCCACAUCCUCUCUGCUCAGAAAGGGCAGAUAUCAGGGGGAAGUGACCCCAACUCAGGGCUGAGCUGCACUGGUUCCCAUGGCACAUUCGUGCCAAUUAGAAGUAAGGCAGCCUCUAAGGGGAAGCAAGGCCAUAGACACGCAUCUUGGCUAGGAGAGCGUGGAUGUUUUUCAGGCCCCACUCAUCACCGCUUCCCAAGUCAGGGGCCCUUCUGAACUUACUUAACCCGCCCCACCGUAUGUGUCAUCCCCAACCUAAAUUCAUGAGACCCC